GAAGUCAGACCGUAAGGACUGGUGGAGCGCUUAGAAGUGAGAAUGCCGGUAUGAGUAGCGAAAGACAAGUGAGAAUCUUGUCCACCGAAUGCCUAAGGUUUCCUGAGGAAGGCUCGUCCGCUCAGGGUUAGUCGGGACCUAAGCCGAGGCUGAAAAGCGUAGGCGAUGGCCAACAGGUUGAUAUUCCUGUACCACCUCCCCGCCGUUUGAGUAAUGGGGGGACGCAGUAGGAUAGGGUAAGCGCGCUGCUGGAUAUGCGCGUUCAAGCAGUUAGGCUGAUGAGUAGGCAAAUCCGCUCAUCAUAAAGGCUGAGCUGUGAUGACGAGGGAAUUAUAGUACCGAAGUUCCUGAUUCCACACUGCCAAGAAAAGCCUCUAGCGAGGCGGGAGGUGCCCGUACCGCAAACCGACACAGGUAGGCGAGGAGAGAAUCCUAAGGUGAUCGAGAGAACUCUCGUUAAGGAACUCGGCAAAAUGACCCCGUAACUUCGGGAGAAGGGGUGCUCUGGUAGGGUGUAUAGCCCGAGAGAGCCGCAGUGAAUAGGCCCAGGCGACUGUUUAGCAAAAACACAGGUCUCUGCGAAGCCGCAAGGCGAAGUAUAGGGGCUGACGCCUGCCCGGUGCUGGAAGGUUAAGAGGAGGGGUUAUCCUUUGGGAGAAGCUCUGAAUCGAAGCCCCAGUAAACGGCGGCCGUAACUAUAACGGUCCUAAGGUAGCGAAAUUCCUUGUCGGGUAAGUUCCGACCCGCACGAAAGGCGUAACGAUCUGGGCACUGUCUCAACGAGAGACUCGGUGAAAUUAUAGUACCUGUGAAGAUGCAGGUUACCCGCGACAGGACGGAAAGACCCCGUGGAGCUUUACUGUAGCCUGAUAUUGAAUUUUGGUACAGCUUGUACAGGAUAGGUAGGAGCCUGAGAAGCCGGAGCGCUAGCUUCGGUGGAGGCGUCGGUGGGAUACUACCCUGGCUGUAUUGAAAUUCUAACCCGCGGCCCUGAUCGGGCCGGGAGACAGUGUCAGGUGGGCAGUUUGACUGGGGCGGUCGCCUCCUAAAAUGUAACGGAGGCGCCCAAAGGUUCCCUCAGAAUGGUUGGAAAUCAUUCGUAGAGUGUAAAGGCACAAGGGAGCUUGACUGCGAGACCUACAAGUCGAGCAGGGACGAAAGUCGGGCUUAGUGAUCCGGUGGUUCCGCAUGGAAGGGCCAUCGCUCAACGGAUAAAAGCUACCCCGGGGAUAACAGGCUUAUCUCCCCCAAGAGUCCACAUCGACGGGGAGGUUUGGCACCUCGAUGUCGGCUCAUCGCAUCCUGGGGCUGUAGUCGGUCCCAAGGGUUGGGCUGUUCGCCCAUUAAAGCGGUACGCGAGCUGGGUUCAGAACGUCGUGAGACAGUUCGGUCCCUAUCCGUCGUGGGCGUAGGAAAUUUGAGAGGAGCUGUCCUUAGUACGAGAGGACCGGGAUGGACACACCGCUGGUGUACCAGUUGUCUUGCCAAAGGCAUCGCUGGGUAGCUAUGUGUGGACGGGAUAAGUGCUGAAAGCAUCUAAGCAUGAAGCCCCCCUCAAGAUGAGAUUUCCCAUAGCGUAAGCUAGUAAGAUCCCUGAAAGAUGAUCAGGUUGAUAGGUCAGAGGUGGAAGCGUGGCGACAUGUGUAGCUGACUGAUACUAAUCGAUCGAGGACUUAACCAA
rnacentral:rRNA from 1 species